rnacentral:rRNA from 1 species
GACAGAGGUGCCAAGCGUUAGGCGGAAUCACUGGGCUUAAAGCGUGUGUAGGCGGGCGAUCAAGUACCUUGUGAAAUCCCACGGCUCAACCGUGGAACUGCUGGGUAUACGUGGUUGUCUUGAGCCAGCUAGGGGACGAGCGGAACAGACGGUGGAGCGGUGAAAUGCGUAGAUAUCGUCUGGAACGCCGAAGGUGAAAACAGCUCGCUGGGGCUGCGCUGACGCUAAGACACGAAAGCCAGGGGAGCGAACGGG